AGGAUAUAACUUAAAUAAAGUAUUUUGCUUACACCAAAAACAUAUCUAUUAAACCAGAUUAUCCUGAG
rnacentral:tRNA from 1 species